GACAUUGCCUGGUGGCCUGCAAUCUCAGCUUCACAUAAACACUCAUUUUAUUAUUAAGAAAUGUAUGCCUCCACCUUCUCUGAAUUUUUAAUCUUUGUGUGAGUCAAAACAUACUUGACUGAUAAGAGCCUUUUUUUUUUUUACACAGUAAAAGUUAGAAGUUAAAUUGUUAGACUACGGGGAUCCAAGCACUGGCCAUUGUCCCAUCCACAAUUGAAACAAUCCCACAAACUUUGAUAAGAGCCUAAUCCAACACGUUUUCAGGUAAUAUGAUUUAAUGGUAUAGGUUGUAAAAAUAAGAAGGUAACAUUAGGAUCAAACAGUGAUGAAAUAUGUCAAGAUCAUAAUAGAUGAUCCCUACCAUCUAUACCAUCAGGAGUGGACAAGUUUCAAUAAAAUAACCAUCCAUCUAUUCAGGAACCUCUCCAUUCCUGAAUGUCUCCCACCUUUCAGAAACAGGAAGCUGAACACAUUAAAGAGUAAAUACUUUUAUUGACAUUCUCCAUCUGCAAAAAUUCUAAACAAACAAAUUUCUAAACAAAAAAUGGUAAAAUCCCAAUUUAAAUGUUCAACCCUGUCCUGGAAUCAUAAAUGGUUUGUGUGGUGGUGUAAACUGUAGCAGAGUGUUAAUUAUUUGUCGCAACAAAAAUGUACACAUUUCAAAUUAAAGGCGUUAACACCAUUCCUAUCCAUUGUUCUAAAUUAGUUGUGAGGUCCCUUUUAAUAUUUUGCACGAGGCAAUCUAAAAUGAAAUACCGAAAGGCUUUUAGGCUACUUUUAGUGGGGUCUGGAAGUACUACUUCAUCAUUGGCAUAUAAAACCUGUCUGUCCUAAUUCAAGGCUGUUAACCUACAUUAUAUAUAUAUUUAUAUACACACACACUUUUUUUUUUACACAGUAAAAGUUAGAAGAUAAAUUGUUAGACUACGGGGAUCCAAGCACUGGCCAUUGUCCCAUCCACAAUUGAAACAAUCCCACAAACUUUGCGUCGCUGAACAGCUGUAACCUACAUCACACAUAGUGUUCCGGACAAACUCGUAAUCAAAAACUUCCAGCGUGAGAUGAACGAUUUUCUCAAGGGAGAAUUUUUGGGGAUCUUUCUGGAAGUUUCUUCGGAACUCAACGGCUCAAUCGCUUUAUCGCUGUAUCAUGGUCCCUUUGAAUUCACACUUGACAUAUUCUUCAUAAAACUCCAGGGGUUAAGGCCUCCCUCCUAUCGUCGUCGCUGCCGUCCCCUGGAACAUGACCCUGUGCCUCUAAACCUUACUACACUGCUUCUUCACCCACGCUCCACUCCUAAACGUUCCCAGGAGUUGUAUUUGGCAGGCGAAUUAUUAGCUGUUCUUUUUAACCGUAACUUUCCACCAUGCUUUGCCUUGGUUUCAACCUCUCCUCUCCCUUCUAUCCUCACAAGCCCCGUUUCUCUGUGCUUUGAUGUAAAGCAAAAAAAAAAAACCUGACUUUGGAGCCAACUACUCCAUAAUAAUGUUUAUUAUUGAAUGGUUGGCUUCAAAAUGUUUCUAGAUAUUAUACUUGCUGUGUAGCCCUCAGUCUCAAACGUUCAAUUAACUCACUCGAUACCACGCAUUCUCAAACAUGAAGACUUUGCAGCAUUUGGUUUGUUUCCCUUAAUAAAGUCCUUUUCUAAACCCUAGUUACUCUACAUCCUUUCUUUAAAAACACCCUGAAAAAACGUUUAGAAUGACAACCUGCUAGCCCAGAAGCUGGCCCUAAUAAGGCCAGCUUCGUCUUCAGACAAACGACUGCAUUAUCCCCGUCACCCUUUCCCCAUCCGAGGGUAAACGGCGAGCCUCGGUCCCCACUGUGGUUAGUGUGGCUCUUCAUUAUAAGUUAUUAAGACAGAUACAAACAUAGUUCAUUAGGGUCCUCCUCCAUUGCAAAGAUAUGUUAGCAAUUCUGGCUGGAACGACAACUCUAUAGCUCCCAGUACUCAAAGAAGACCGGUCAGAUCUCUCGGGAGAAAAACCAAAAACAAAAGAGUCUAACUCGGGUGAAUGCUACAAUUGUUCCCUUUCAUUCUCUUCCACCGAUUCACAGUUUAUAGUUAUGGGGGAGCGGUGGGAGGGGGAGGGGGUGUGAGGAGGGCUGCUCUGUGGCUGUAAUUCGCAGCGUGCCUCACAGCUCCAGUAAGUCUACUGUUGUGCACAUGGACAGUUUGUUCUUGAGGAGAGAGCACCAGUGGAAGAGCCCCCAAAGCAGCACCUAGAGGAGCCCUGAUACCGAGGAGGGGACGGGGCUCCGUUAAGAGAGAGGUGUUCAUCAACUCACAACAGCACCGAUAGUUCUGCCCUGGAAGAAAGAAAACAUUAAGAACUCCUUUCCCUAAUUGGUAGGCAGACAGGGGGGCAGGGGGAGUUAGAGAAAGAGAGCGAGUGUGUGACAGAGCGAGAGUGACACAAACAGAGAGAUCCACAGGGCAGUGCCAGCAGGCUGUACCAUCCUGCCAAUGGUAGUUCUGCCUCAUCCAGAACCGGCCAGCCAGCCAGGGGGGGGGGGGGCAUGGCUAACCGUAACCAAACCAACCAUGAACCAUGUAAUCCAUGGUUCACAUGCAUGCCUGUGCGUCCUGGCAUAUUACUCAUAGGGCGGGUGAGGUCACGUUCCCGGGUGGUUCUGUAGAAGAUGGGGGUCCAUCCAGUAGGAAACUUUGUAUUCUUCUGUCCACGCUCCGUUCUUCUAAUAUCGUGUCCAUAGUCAGAGUGGAUGGGCGUGUGGGGGCUGUGCUGUUGUACUGAGAGGAGGAGGAGGAGGAAGAGGAGGAGAUGGUACGGUUGGGGGCGUACCCAGAAGUAUCUAUGUCCGCUGCUUGUUGUGUUAUCUAGCCGUAUGGUCGGUCAUCGGUGCCUCCACUGGCCUACUGCAGGCGAUGGCCAAGACGCUAAAAAAAGACAAUAAAGUGAUGUAGAUGAAGAGACAUGUUAGAUGACAGACGAGGACACGUCCUCCCACAACACGCAAGUCUAAAUAAAGCAAGCUUGAUGCAGGCGAUGCUGAAGGUGAACAGUUUCAGGAAUGGUUCAUUUUUCUCUGCUACAUUUCUGAAUGGAUUCUUCAUGCAGAUGUCACUGCAGAGACACUGCAGUGACAUCUGCAUUUAUAUCAUCAAACAGUAAUGGAGAACCAUCAAGUGUGGGACAGCUCGUUUCUCUCCAGAUACCAACACCAGGGGGCAGUAGAGACACUAGUCAGAUACCCGAUGUCUGUCAUGCAAAUGUGGUUGAUUCUGUUAGUCGCUGUUAUAUCGAAAAACAGUAGAAAACUACGAUCGGUAACUCAUGUUUUUCAAUAUGAUUGCGAUAACACACACACACACACACACACACACACACACACACACACACACACACACACACACACACACACACACACACACACACACACACACACACA
ensembl:lncRNA